rnacentral:lncRNA from 1 species
GACUGGGAUCACAGAGAUCUUAUGUUGAGGAAUUGUUUGUGACUGUGCAAGCGCUUCACCUCAAAAAGGAGAUUGCAGAGUUGGAAAGGGGUCGAAAAGGGCGACUAAAAUGAUCGAGGGGUGGAGCGAAUCGCUUAUGAAGAAAGAGCGCAGCGUUUGGGACUUAAGACAAGCAAGAGGCGACAGGUUAGGAAUUUUAAAAAUUAUGCACAGCGUUGAGAAAGCAGGUAGGGAAAAGUUCUUCUCCCUCUCUCAAAGAAUAAGUGAAUUGCAGGGUGAGAAGGGGUUCCAAUGGUCAUCUAGCCCAACCCCGGGUUGAGAGGAGCUUCCUGGUGGGAUUUGAACCCUGCUCUCUCCCAGGUCGCGGUCUAACAGUCUAAUCGCUACACCACACUGUCUCCAUUGAUUCCUAUGGGUCUACUCAGCGUAAGAUGAGGUCGGCCGCCCCCGCGUUAAGCCUCCCAGGUCUUACGCCAGCUCUCUAACCGCAACACCACACUGCCUUCCCUUUGCACGCUCAAGAGCUGCCUUUUUGCUCCUUGCUUCCUACAGAAAACACACCCUUGCCCCUCGCUUUCGGAGGGACCCGCUGCUGCCAUCUGUGCCCGGCGUGCAAAGAGGGCGGAUUUGCAUUAAAUUUCUUCUUUUUCUUCUUUGCACGCUCGCUCUGUUCUCCUAUCCUGUUAUCCUAUCCCGCUUCCCUGCCUUGCACGCUUCCCGUGAGAAAAAACCACACACACCUUCCUCCCUGCGGGAAAUACCCUGUCUCCCCGGCUGCAGGUCUCAUCUCUUGCCCGCGACACGCAACUUCGCAUUCACACGAGCGCAGGCGUACACGUGUCUGCCGCCCAUUUGGACCCCGCGCGCGCGCGCACGUCCCGCAGAUGCUGCUGCUGCUCACCUGAGCCCAGGUGUGUCAGGCUGCGCUCCGGGGAUCCCGCUGCGCAACCCCUCCGUCUCCCAGCUGUUCGCGAAGCUGCUCUCACCUGCGGUGAUGCGGGCCCUUUAAGAGGCGGUCCGCGCCCCUCUCGUGACGUCAUCGCGCGCCCGCGUCGCCGUACCUGGCCCGGCGCCACCUUUGGAGUGGCAGGUGAGGGCGCUGGAGAGUGUGGCGGCUCCGCGCCAAUGGGGAGCUUUCGCCCAAAGGGACCCCUAAGGGUCAUCCAGCCUGACCCCAUGCAAUGCAGGCAUCUCCUUCUUUAUUAUUAUUAUUAUAAACUUUAUUUAGAAUUCAACAGUAACAAAGGAAAAAACCCACAGUAAUUGCUACAUCAAUUCAUUCCAAUUAACCAAUUUUAACAAUAUAUAAAUAGUAAUUGAAAAAUUACACAGCAUCACCUUUAAGUUACUGAAGUUUUCGUAUUACACUUUUUAUCUCUUUCUCAAAGAGAGGAAGACCAAGAAAGGAGGUACAAAAAAGAAAAAAGAAGAGUAAGAAUAAGAGAGAAAGGGGAAAAAAGGAAAAGAAAAAGAAAAAAGAAAACAAAACAAAAAAACCCACAUUUGACUUCCGAUUAGACUCAUUGUGUUAUUAUUUCUACUAUUUUUUCACACACAGUUCCAAAUUAUUGUAUUGCUUUCUUUGUUUUUGUCAGAUAUCAGAAAACAUUAUAUUUGUUGUUUUACAAGGAUCAUUCUAUUUCUGCCAGGAGAUAUUUGUUAUUGUAAUGUUUUCCCAGAUACUCUUUAAAGAUUUUCCAUUCUUUCUGUACUUUCUGUUUUGGGUAGCCUCUAAUUCUCCCUGUCAUCAUGGCC